rnacentral:rRNA from 1 species
CGGUCUGUCGCGUCUGCUGUGAAAACCCGAGGCUCAACCUCGGGCCUGCAGUGGGUACGGGCAGACUAGAGUGCGGUAGGGGAGAUUGGAAUUCCUGGUGUAGCGGUGGAAUGCGCAGAUAUCAGGAGGAACACCGAUGGCGAAGGCAGAUCUCUGGGCCGUAACUGACGCUGAGGAGCGAAAGGGUGGGGAGCAAACAGGCUUAGAUACCCUGGUAGUCCACCCCGUAAACGUUGGGAACUAGUUGUGGGGUCCAUUCCACGGAUUCCGUGACGCAGCUAACGCAUUAAGUUCCCCGCCUGGGGAGUACGGCCGCAAGGCUAAAACUCAAAGGAAUUGACGGGGACCCGCACAAGCGGCGGAGCAUGCGGAUUAAUUCGAUGCAACGCGAAGAACCUUACCAAGGCUUGACAUAUAGAGGAAACGUCUGGAAACAGUCGCCCCGCAAGGUCUCUAUACAGGUGGUGCAUGGUUGUCGUCAGCUCGUGUCGUGAGAUGUUGGGUUAAGUCCCGCAACGAGCGCAACCCUCGUUCUAUGUUGCCAGCACGUAAUGGUGGGAACUCAUGGGAUACUGCCGGGGUCAACUCGGAGGAAAGGUGGGGAUGACGUCAAAUCAUCAUGCCCCUUAUGUCUUGGGCUUCACGCAUGCUACAAUGGCCGGUACAAAGGGCUGCAAUACCGUGAGGUGGAGCGA